rnacentral:lncRNA from 1 species
GUGAAUUUUGAUUUGUCCUUUUUCUGUGUUAUGUCCUAAUUUUUCUGAACUGAGUUUGCUUGUGAGAACUGAACCAAACUUCCCUAUAAUUUUCAUAUGCAACUUGUAGGUUGGCUAGAUUACGUGCACUUUUUUGACUAACACACUCAUUGCAUUUCCAAUUAUAUACAAACUUCACAGUCCUUCACAGUGAUUCUAUAUUCUAACGAUGAUUGUAAGUCUUUGUUUG